rfam:Mesocricetus auratus contig141782, whole genome shotgun sequence.
UGAUGUGAGGGUAGUCUAGCUUCUGUCCCCCACUGAUCAUCAGGGUUGGUUCACCUGAUCUGGCUGGCUAGACAGUUGUUCCCUUCUUCCUUCACUGGUCCACUCAUUCUAAGAAAACUCUUGUCCCUGAUAGAGGAGCAUUCUUUACUCAAGGGUAUCUGAGUACCGGCACUCCCCUGCUAGAGAACAUUCAAAGAAGCCCAGAGCCUCCGACUGUCUUCACUCUAACCCAGGCAAUGAUUGAUUUAUGCUGCACU